rnacentral:lncRNA from 1 species
GUGUUUUUCUGUGCUAAGGCACUUUUUUGAAAUAAUAGUUACAGUUUGUCUUUAAUUUGUUAUAAAGGAUUUUUAUACUAUUCUUGGAUUUUAAUUAGUCGUAAUUUAAGUUUAAUGAAAAUACAGUUGUUUGGGGAAGAAGUGUUGCAGAUAACGAUCUAAGGGGCCUCGUCGUGCUGAUUAUUACAAUGGGUGUUGGUAAUACCAUGCGUGGAAAAGGUUUGAAAUGGGGAACUAUUGAGAAUGUGAACAAACGAAAGGUCAAUAAUAAAAAGGAAAGAUGGGAUGCUGGAGGUUUGGAAAUGCAAAGAUCUGUUCAGGAUAGGAAGAAGUAGAGAUGGACCAUUGCAGGGGUUAGUUUUACAAGUUCAACAAUAGAUAUUCUUCUUUUGAUAGUUGCUUGAGAAAGAAGAAAGAGACGCAAGAAAGGAAGUAGGAGAUCGGGGUAGGAUGAAAGGACGCAGGAGACUGAUAUUGGAUUGUUGCUUGAGAAAGAAGAGAGAGACGCUAGAAAGCAAGCAGGAGAUUGGGGAAGGAUAAAAGGAAGCAGGAGACUGAGGUUGGAACGCUUAAUUGUUUUCCUUUUCCUUCCUGGGGAAGGACUGAGGUCCAGUGGAGCUUUCGUGCUGCAUUAAGGAUGCAAUGAUGGAUCCUGAUCACAUCGGACGUCAUCACCAUCUUCGGCCGUUACUGCAUCCAUGUGCUGCUCCACCAUCUACCAGAGGACUGGACCUCGUUCGGGAUUUUCGGUCGGGAGUGUUUCGGGAGUGUCAUGGAGCGUCCAAAUUCGAAUUUGGAUGUCUCCAUGCCUGCGAUCUCGGAAUUUUCGACGUCCCGAGACUCGGAAACUUCGGAAUUCGGAUCUCGGGGUUGCCAAAACGAUUAAUCCUUCGGGAUUAAUCUGUUUUGGAGAUCCUGAGAUUUGGAUUUCGAAGUUUCUGAAACUCGGUAUCUCGAAACUUCCGAAAUUUCAAGCAUGGGGACUUCCAGUUCGAAUUUGGAUGCUCCAAGCGUCUGGGCCUUGUCCCGGACGGUCUUCGAAUUAACAAAACCUUUCGCGCUAAACCUGGUAGGCGUGAAAAAUUCAUUUUUAUAAAUAAAACACAUCGUAAGGUUC